GUAAACCCUCUACUUCACUUCGAA
rnacentral:miRNA from 1 species